UAUAGGUGAGGCCCUUUUCGGCGGCGGC
rnacentral:sRNA from 1 species